UACGAAGGGGACUAGCGUUGUUCGGAAUUACUGGGCGUAAAGCGCACGUAGGCGGAUUUGCUAGUCAGGGGUGAAAUCCCGGGGCUCAACCUCGGAACUGCCUUUGAUACUGCAAAUCUCGAGUCCGAUAGAGGUGGGUGGAAUUCCUAGUGUAGAGGUGAAAUUCGUAGAUAUUAGGAAGAACACCGGUGGCGAAGGCGGCCCACUGGAUCGGUACUGACGCUGAGGUGCGAAAGCGUGGGGAGCAAACAGG
rnacentral:rRNA from 1 species